rnacentral:siRNA from 1 species
AUAAUGGUGGAAAACUACA